UGGGGAAUAUUGGACAAUGGGCGCAAGCCUGAUCCAGCCAUGCCGCGUGAGUGAUGAAGGCCCUAGGGUUGUAAAGCUCUUUCACCGGUGAAGAUGAUGACGGUAACCGGAGAAGAAGCCCCGGCUAACUUCGUGCCAGCAGCCGCGGUAAUACGAAGGGGGCUAGCGUUGUUCGGAUUUACUGGGCGUAAAGCGCACGUAGGCGGACUAUUAAGUCAGGGGUGAAAUCCCGGGGCUCAACCCCGGAACUGCCUUUGAUACUGGUAGUCUUGAGUUCGAGAGAGGUGAGUGGAAUUCCGAGUGUAGAGGUGAAAUUCGUAGAUAUUCGGAGGAACACCAGUGGCGAAGGCGGCUCACUGGCUCGAUACUGACGCUGAGGUGCGAAAGCGUGGGGAGCAAACAGG
rnacentral:rRNA from 1 species